AUCUUGCUGUCAUUGAUGUGUUUGAUGUUGUGGAUAUGAUCAAGGCCCUGUUUCUUUUUGAGUGAUAACUACUUGGCCAAAUUUAACCUACCUUGUGAGAUAGUGAUCUUUUUGUGUCCCCUGUUGAGCCUUAAAUUUUGAAAAUUGUUUGUUAAACCCUGAAACCGAAAGAAUGGAAAAACAACUACUCUACCCUUGUCUUAGGAUAGGAGAGCAAUUGUACUUCAACUAGGGUUAUGAUAAGGUUUAAGUUGGGGAAAAGUAGGUUACAAAAGUUACAAAAAUAAAAUGGUUUGAAGAGUAGUUGAUUUGGUGAUUUGCAAAAAAAAAAAUAAAAAAAAUAAAAAAAAAUAAAAAAAUAAAAAAUAAUAAUCUCAUUGUGAAGAAAGAAAAGGAUCACCAAUGAAAUAGGGGAGAAAAGAAAAAGAAAGGGAGUAAAUGAAUGAAAAUUUUUAUAAGUUCUUUAAGUUUUAUUUUUGCUCUCUUAUCCUUGAGGCCUUUUGAAAUCCAAAGAAAAACAAUGAUUUUUUUUUAAGCCCAGCCCCGUUACAAGCUUUAUGAAGUCCUUAGUGAUCCACGACUGAUAGCAUGUUUUGUGA
rnacentral:lncRNA from 1 species